AUUGAACGCUGGCGGCAGGCCUAACACAUGCAAGUCGAACGAGUGGCGGACGGGUGAGUAAUGUCUGGGAAACUGCCUGAUGUAGGGGGCUAACUACUGGAAACGGUAGCUAAUACCGCAUACCAUCGGAUGUGCCCAGAUGGGAUUAGCUAGUAGGUGGGGUAACGGCUCACCUCGGCUACGAUCCCUAGCUGGUCUGAGAGGAUGACCAUCCACACUGGAACGUAGACACGGUCCAGACUCCUACGGGGGGAAGCAGUGGGGAAUAGUGCACAAUGGGCGCAAGACAUAUGCAGCCACGCCGCGUGUAUUAAGAAGGCCUUCGGGUUGUAAAGUACUUACAGCGGGGAGGCGGUACCCGCAGAAGAAUCACCGGCUAACUCCGUGCCAGCAGCCGCGGUAAUAC
rnacentral:rRNA from 1 species